UUCAAAUGUUCAAAGAAUUAUAACUAAUUUUUUGACAAAUAUAAACAAUCAUUUAACUUCAACUAUUCAUUCAUCCUUGGCAAAUGUAGUAAAUAAAAUUUGGAAGAGAAUUUUCAACCCACUUUUGAUUUUCUUCUCCUAUAUAAAGAUGGUUGAAUGCAUUUGCAUAUUCAUCCCAUUUUUAAGUUAGCAUUAGAGAAAAACAAAUAAAUUAAAUUAAAUUAAAUAAAUAAAGGAGAAGGGGUAGUAAUGAUGGGAUUGGCAUUACUACCUUUCUUGUUAUUAUUAUCGUUGGCAUCUACUAUUCAAGGCCAAUCCAUUUUCGAUGUUACUACAUAUGGUGCCAAACCUAAUACAGAUAUUACUCAGGCCUUAGCAAAUGCAUGGACCGAAGCAUGUGCGUCUACGACUCCUAGUACAUUGUUGAUUCCAAAAGGAGUUUACCAAUUAAGUCAAUCUAAUCUUAAAGGACCUUGCAAGAGUGUUCCUAUUCAAGUUCAGGUGGAAGGAACAUUGCAAGCUCCUAUCCAUACAAAAGGAGACGGGUUGGUUCUUUUUACAUACAUUGAUCAACUAAUAUUAUCGGGAUCCGGAGUUUUUGAUGGUCAAGGAAAAUCAGGUUGGGAAAAGAAUAAUUGCCACAAAAAUAAGAUAUGUACCAAACUUCCCAUGGUAAACUUGACGACUAUAUAUAUUAGUUCAAACCUUUUGCCUCAUUUCAUAUACAAUUUAAAUGUAACGCCCAACAAAUUCGAUUUUUGUUCAUUGUCAUUAAUAUUUAAGUGUGGUUAUGGGAAAUUAAAAUUUAUUGGAAGAACCUUAUCAUUUUGAAAUUUCGAUUAAUUAAGGUUUGGAAUCUUUUUUUUGUUUAAGAUAAUAAGUAUUUUUUUAUUUGGAAAUAAUUGGGGAAGUUUUAUUAAACUAAAGUUGGUUGAUUUUGGUGAGAUUUGGAGAGAGAGAGGAGGUGGUUGAUUUGGGUUAUUUAAAAGGAAAAGAAAAGAGUUAUUGUUUUAUAAAAAGCCUUGGGGCUCGUGCGUAAAGAAGAAGAGAAAAAAAUCAAAGAAAGAAAGAGGGGAAAAGAAAAGAGAAAAAGGAAAAAAAAUUAUUAUUUAUCAAACCCUAGCCGCCGCAUGCCGCCGCCGCGAACCCGAGCCGCCAAGCCUCCCCCUCUCUGUUCAGCAGCGCAGCCGAGUUUGCAGUCAAAAACCGAGCCGUCGCCGAGCUUCCAGCCGCGUCGGAAGAAUCGUCCAAACCGAUCCGCGCAGCCGAGCGUCCGUCGGAGCAGCCAUCUCUCGCAGCCGUCGCCCGAAGCCGAGCCGCGUCACCCUUCGCGAUCCGCAGCCGAUCCGUCAGCCAGCCGCGUCGCGCCGCGUCGAUCCGACGCAGCGCAGCCGAGCGUCUAUCUGCAGCCGUCGCCGAGCGAAGCCGUGGUGUAGCCGGACCACCCGCAGCCGUCGCGCCACCCGGAUCCGAAAACCAGCGCCUCGUCGCGUGAGGACCCGACCCGUCCGAAGUCCGCUCCGUAACCAGAGGCCCGGCCUGAGCCGCAUGCCUUCGACCUAGAACCCGAGCCGCGUGCACCCGCGAGCUGAGCAGCGCCCGCGUGCGAGCCGCACGUGCGUAGCCGCUGUACCAAGCCGAGUCGCGCCUGUCUGCACCACGAGCCGCGCCUGUUUGCGCCGCGAGCCGAGCCGAUCUUCAACCUCCAAGCCGAGCCGGUCCCUACCCUUUUUCCAGUCGAGCCGCCAAGCCUAAUUUGGCUCCUCCCAUCCAAUUUUGGGACGUCCUGGACCAACUAACCGCUGCAGCGUGGGGUUUCUUCAGUAGGGGCUCAACCAUUGCAACCUCUUUCUAGGUUAGGACCUCGUCGCUUGGAAAGCACAUUUGCCUCGUGGUUAGGACUCGCCAAGUAAAUCUCCAGGUAGAGGACGAGGCAAGGGCAAGGGCAAGCUUGCGAGCGACCCGAAGUGACCGUGGCGAGCCAUAGGGACUCCUGCUUCCGCUUAUUCUUGUUUUGACUUUAGUACCUGAGUUUGAGUAUUCUUCAUUAUUUACCAUCUUUUAAGUAGAUAGGACCCGAGUAGGACUUUAGAACGCAUUUCAUUUUCGCAUAACUACCUUGUUUGGAUUUUCAUAAAUAAAAUUUCUCAAACCUUAUGCGUUUUACUAAGUUUUA